rnacentral:rRNA from 1 species
AACGAACGCUGGCGGCGUGCCUAACACAUGCAAGUCGAGCGCGAAAGGAGCAAUCCGAGUAGAGCGGCGCACGGGUGCGUAACACGUGGAUAAUCUGCCUCAGGGUUGAGGAUAACCUUCCGAAAGGUUGGCUAAUACUCGGUAAGCUUACGGUGACUUCGGUCGCUGUGAGAAAACUAGACCUCUAUUUAUAAGUUUAGGCCCAGAGAUGAGUCGGCGGCCCAUCAGCUAGUUGGCGGGGUAACGGCCCACCAAGGCUAAGACGGGUAGCUGGUCUGAGAGGACGAUCAGCCCAACUGGAACUGAGACACGGUCCAGACUCCUACGGGAGGCAGCAGUGGGGAAUUUUCCACAAUGGGCGAAAGCCUGAUGGAGCAACGCCGCGUGUGUGAUGAAGGUCUUCGGAUCGUAAAGCACUUUCGACUGGGACGAAAAACCUUUGGCUAACAUCCAGGGGCCUGACGGUACCAGGAGAAGAAGCACCGGCUAACUCUGUGCCAGCCGCCGCGGUAACAC